rnacentral:tRNA from 1 species
GGGUUAUUAGCUCAGUUGGUAGAGCAGUGGACUCUUAAUCUAUCGGUUGCAGGUUCAAAUCCUGCACAGCCCGCCA